rnacentral:rRNA from 1 species
UACGUAGGGGGCAAGCGUUGUCCGGAUUUACUGGGCGUAAAGCGCGCGCAGGCGGUUCGUUAAGUCCGGUGUGAAAGCUCCCGGCUCAACUGGGAGAGGUCAUUGGAUACUGGCGGACUUGAGGGAUGCAGAGGAAGGUGGAAUUCCCGGUGUAGUGGUGAAAUGCGUAGAGAUCGGGAGGAACACCAGUGGCGAAGGCGGCCUUCUGGGCAUUUCCUGACGCUGAGGCGCGAAAGCGUGGGGAGCGAACCGG